GACGUAGGGCGCGAGCGUUGUCCGGAUUUAUUGGGCGUAAAGAGCUCGUAGGCGGCUUGUCGCGUCGACUGUGAAAACCCGCGGCUCAACUGCGGGCUUGCAGCCGAUACUGGCAGGCUUGAAUUCGGGAGAGGGAUGUGGAAUUCCAGGUGUAGCGGUGAAAUGCGUAGAUAUCUGGAGGAACACCGGUGGCGAAGGCGGCAUCCUGGACCAAUAUUGACGCUGAGGAGCGAAAGCCAGGGGAGCAAACGGG
rnacentral:rRNA from 1 species